rnacentral:rRNA from 1 species
UUGGCUUUUCCGAGAGGAUGGGUAAUCUUGUUAAACUGCGUCGUGCUGGGGAUAGAGCUUUGCAAUUUUUGCUCUUGAACGAGGAAUUCCUAGUAAGCGCAAGUCAUCAGCUUGCGUUGAUUACGUCCCUGCCCUUUGUACACACCGCCCGUCGUUACUACCGAUUGAAUGGCUUAGUGAGGUCCUAGGAGAGUUUGCGCACGAGGGCAACCUCUAGCGCGGAUUCAAAUUAGAUCAAACUUGGUCAUUUAGAGGAAGUACAAGUCGUAACAAGGUUUCCGUAGGUGAACCUGCGGAAGGAUCAUU